CACUAGACCAGGCUCUCAAAGCCCCGUCCAGCUGGGCCUUCGAUCCCUCCAGGGAUGGGGCAUCCACAUCUUCUCUGAGCAACCUGUUCUAGUGCCUCACCACCCUCACUCCACAUCAGGCCAGUAGUAAAAUUGUGGAGUGGGAGUUAAAGACUGAGGAAUCAUGAAGAUGGAGGCAGAGUGAACAACUGGAGGUACCAAAGGCAAAGAUCACAGGCUGAGAUAAGAACAAUUUCCUGGAAACAGCAAUGAGAUAAGAAAAC